ACAUAUUGGACUAUUCACAUCACUCC
rnacentral:piRNA from 2 species